GCCACUUACCAAUUUGGAGUGGUCUGCCUCCGUCUUCAGUCUCUCCUUGCUCUCCAUGGACACAGGCCAGUUUUGAAUUUCACCUGGGAAAUCCCAGGACCGUGAACCAACAGACACCCUACCCUGACACCGUCCAAGCUGUACAUGACUCCCUUUACUUCUUCACCCUGAAGAUGUUGCAAACAGUAUGGAAAGAAGCACCUCGGAGAGAGGAUUGUAGACGGCAUCACAGCAACAGCCCCCUUAGUCACGCCUUAAUACUGGAAUGCGUAUACAUCUUUAGUCUUGCUUCAAUAACGCUUGUCAGCCUCAGGCUCCAUGAAAACCGCCGCAUCCAAUGUUUGUUUUGUCUGUUAAUUUAUAACAUUUGGGGCCAGAUGUGAAUUGAAAAUCCUUCACCAAACUGUCAAAAGCAACAAUUAAAAAAUCUUCUCCAGGAAUUGCCACAGCAGUCACUCCAUUCCAGAUGUAGGACGGAAAGCGCACGAAAACGACAGGGCUGUGAGUUCCCGCGGCCAGGUUUCCAGCAGGACGAGCGCAGAGCGGCGGCCGACGACAUCUCGCGGCAGGCCUUGCUGUCCCGCGAGAGGUUUCCCGAUGGGUAGUUAUCUGACUUCCGGCUUCUCGCGGAUCAUAACCUUUCCUAGAGAGUCUGAGUUGCCUCGGAUAAUGAAGUUUCCAAAAUUUCCGUUUGGUGUUCCCCGAUGAAAAUGCUUGUUCACCAAGAGUCAGAGCAUCCGUCUACUGUAAUAUCAACAUGAAUCAACUUUCUAAGAAUUGUCAAAUCUGGACCUUGACAACAUUAAGUCUGUGGACCAAUGGAAAAUAUUAACAAUUCACACAAAAAAUAUGUGUUGGUCGCCUAAUGUCUAUGAAGUACUGGGGACAAAAGAUGAUGAGAGAAAAUAUUCAAGGGAAGUUGAUAAUUUGCAUCCUUAUAUUACUGCCUCAUGUUUAGAUUCCUUCCAAAAAUUAGAAUCUGUUCAACAGUUAAAACUAUGCUGAUCUUAUCAUCAUGAACUCAUACCUUUAUUUGUAUUGUGGAUUGUUGUCAGGGAAUACCCCUAUACUCAGCAAGAAGUUCUGCAAGGAAGGGUCGUAAGACAUGCCACAGUGAGUGGAGAUAAGAGUAACAUUAUGUUCCAAGUCGUCAAGCCUUUUAAUUCUCUAGGACAGUUUUACAGUUCACAAGUCUAGUGAAUCCUUAGACUGUCAAUAAAGAUUUAUAGAAAAUCACUACCUAAGCACAGGUACUCCAGUGUAAAAAAUGUCAUUCUAUUUUACCGCAAAUCAUACCUACUGGGAUUCUGCCUCCUUGUUAUUUUGCUUGUUUUUGAGGCCUACACUGACUUAAUCCUGUUGAGAAAGGAAAUCUAAAUACUUUCACAACAAAGAAGAGGCUCUAGAAGCUCUCCAGAGGCCUUGACAAAUGAAUAUCAAUAGAUUUCCUCUAAAAGAAAAUAUUCUGUAUGUGAGAACUUUACUGAAAUAUAACCAAUUUAUCAUGGUUCCCCCCUUUUAUAUUAGCUUAUUUAUAAUAUCAUUUCACAGACAUGGUUCUGGCCUUGAAAAAUAUACGUCCUCACUUUAUAAUAUGUUGUCAAAGGUUAAAAAUUUUAAUUUGAAAAUAAAAAAGGAAUAUGGACAAUAUAUCACUAUUCAAAUUAUUUUCAAAUCCUUUGGUUUUGUUUGUUGGCAUUAGAAAUAUUAAAUUCUGUAAAAAAAGGCCGCCUCAGGAUUAUCUUCAUAUAAGGUUUGUAGCACAGAGAGUAACUGACAAGGCGUAUACAGAGACACACAGUCAACCACAUUAUGAUUGAUUUUGUUUUUAGUGAAAAUGGCAGUUGGUUAUGCCUUAAAGCUGGAAGCAUUGGCAGAAGAUAUGCUGAUACUUUGACAGUACAGGGAAGUGACACGAUAGAUAGGACUAGGCCAAAACCCACUCAAUAAAUACAUGACUAGUUUGGGACUGUUAGUCCCACAACAGACGCUGAUUAUGGGCAAUCAGUAGUUCCAAGGUACAAAUACUAAGAGAUAUAGUGGUCUCCACUGUAAUUCAAGUGGUUAUAAACAAACACCUUUAAGAUUUAUCCAGGGUGUGAGGUAGAGCAGAGGCAAAUCCAUUGUUCUGUCAAAUAUUGAACAAUAGGUGGGCAGCAAUCAGGAUUCUGAGAGAGAUUUACAUAAGAAGAAGUGGGAGCAGAUGCAGCUGUGGGGGAUGCUGGAGUCACCAAAGGCAAGGAACCUGGUAAGAACUAGCUAGUUUGCUAGAGUGCGACCAAGGGUGCAGUGCUGAGGGAUUGAAUGCUAGUCAUAGUGGUGAAUCACGGUAUUAGCCCAGGAAAUUAGGACAAUUGGAGUCAGAGUAGCCACUGAGGAAAAAGGUGAAAGCAAUAGGAAAAAUGGAAAAUGUUUUGCCUCAAUCUGUUUAUGAGCCUGAGGCUAGCACCUGGGUAGUGGAUCAUCAAUCAUCUUUCAACUAAAAAUGAUUUGGCUAAGGAAAAGUUAAAGGUCAUUUUAGGUUAUUGAUAAGCUAUGUAAAACUGGAGGCCGUCAAUUUACGGAGGCACUGUACUUUGGUUUCUUAUGAUUUUCUAAAGCAUAUGCCAAAAAAUGGUUAAUGGUAAGACUGACUGAGCAUGUUGUAUGCUUGGGCCAGUAAGUAUAACAGGUGAAAUAAUUGAUAAUAUAAUUAUUAAUGGAAUGUCUCACUUCCCAUCCACCAUGACACUGAGGUCCCUGGUGACCUAGUGAUUGUUAAUAGACUUCUACCAUAGGACAUUUAACUAAAUUGUUAAAAUGAAUUAAAAUCGCUUGGUGACUGACUGCAGUGUGGUCAGUCUAAUUAACAAUCUAGUUUGUGCAGGAAGAUACCCUCACCCUUUAUUGAACUUCUAAAUUUGCAUUAUAUAGUCACUGCUGUACGGCUCCAUGUUGGUUAAAAAAAUAAAAAAUAGCAUGGGAGAGAAAAAAUACAGUGAAAAGGUCUAGCUAUAAUUAUUUUCUCUGUUUUGCUUUGCAGACCAUUAAUACCACAGAGUUUGAAAUCUAUUCUUGAAAAGGUUUAACUGAACUUUUAGCAAUGUAUUUUGAACAGUAUUUUUGAGGGGCAGUUCAAAAUGAUGGAUAGCUUUUGCAAAGAUUAAAAAUUAAAAUUAUUAAGUGUGUCCUUGGGAAGAAUCGUUCAGAGAGGAUGCUACCAUUCAGUCUAGUUUCCAAACUCAAUAGUUUAUGAAUACAAAUAUUUUUAUGAAUCACUGGAGGAAAAUAAAGCUUUCCAAAACUAAGACAUGAUAAAAAUUAAUUGUAUUUUUAAAUGUUUCUAAUG
ensembl:lncRNA